rnacentral:misc_RNA from 1 species
CUUGAUGAAAAUCUGCUCGGGAAGGCGAUCUUUCUUUUUACUCAUCAGAAUGAAGAGGAAAUAUCCUCACAGCAAUCGCUCGAUGCAUCCGGCGCACAGACCCAGUUCAGGGUCGCCGAUUCCGGGAAGGUAACAAAGGAAAUCAUAGGGCGGCUGGAACUGGACUGGGCCGGAUUGCCCGGCCAUGUACU